AGGGACUGCACCUGAUCCAGCAGCUGCUGGAAGAGCAUCAGGUCUCGCUCCAGGCGGCGGAUGGUGCCCAGCAGCUUGCUCUUGGCUCGGACCUCCUCCUGGAUGGAGUCAUAGACAUUCAGCAGAACCCAGUCGCUGCUGGCCUCGUCCUCCUGCUGCAGCGCGGCCACCAGCUGCUCCCGCCGCUCCUCCGCUAAUUUCUUCCGGCGUUGAUGCUUUUCCUUCAGGUCCUUGUUUUCUGCCUGUUCUCCCCCAACCACCUGUUGCUCCAGCAUCUGCAGCCUGGAAAAGAACUCUUGGCAAAGAACUGUCUGUGUGAGCGUGGAGGAUGCGUGGCCUUACCUAGAUGAUGGCUGGGAACACACAGUGCGGAAAAAUAGUGAUUUUUGGAUGAGAUUUGCUGCCCUAAGUAACCAUGGCAGGAGUUUCUGUCACAGACACUCCUGUGGGCCCGAGGCAAAGCUCAUGUUAUUUAUUCUAAGUACCUUUAUCAACAAGUAUGUCUGGAAAUCCCUA